rnacentral:misc_RNA from 1 species
GUUCCAUAGGUGAACCUGCGGAAGGAUCAUUAUUGUAUAACCGAGGUGCGAGGGCUGUCGCUGACCCGAAAGGUCGUGCACGCCCGAGUGCCCUCACACACAUCCAUCUCACCCCUAUGUGCACCACCGCGUGGGUCCCCCUUUGGCUUGUUCGGAGGGGGGCUUACGUUUUCACACAAACUUUGUAUGCAGUGUAGAAUGUAUUUUUUGUUUUUGCGAUCACGCAAUCAAUACAACUUUCAACAACGGAUCUCUUGGCUCUC